GAUGAACGCUGGCGGCGUGCCUAAUACAUGCAAGUAGAACGCUGAAGGGGGAGCUUUCUUCUCUGGAUGAUUUGCGAACGGGUGAGUAACACGUAUGUAACCUGCCUGUUAACGGGGGAUAACUAUUGGAAACGAUGGCUAAUACCGCAUAAGAGUAGAUGUCGCAUGACAUUUGCUUAAAAGGUGCAAUUUUAUCACUACCAGAUGGACCUGCGUUGUAUUAGUUAGUUGGUGAGGUAAAGGCUCAUCAAGGACACGAUACAUAGCCUACCCGAGAGGGGGGACGGCCCACCUGGGAACGAGACCAGGCCCCGACUCCUAAGGGAGGCAGCCGGAGGGAAUCUUCGGACAUGGAGGGAAGUCUGAACGAGGCAAGGCGCGUGAGGGAAGAAGGGUCUCGGAUCGUAAAGCUCUGUUGUAAGAGAAGAACGAGAGUGAGAGUGGAAAGUUCACACUGUGACGGUACCUUAACAGAAAGGGACGGCUAACUACGUG
rnacentral:rRNA from 1 species